UACGAAGGGGGCUAGCGUUGCUCGGAAUCACUGGGCGUAAAGGGUGCGUAGGCGGGUCUUUAAGUCAGGGGUGAAAUCCUGGAGCUCAACUCCAGAACUGCCUUUGAUACUGAAGAUCUUGAGUUCGGGAGAGGCGAGUGGAACUGCGAGUGUAGAGGUGAAAUUCGUAGAUAUUCGCAAGAACACCAGUGGCGAAGGCGCUCACUGGCCCGAUACUGACGCUGAGGCACGAAAGCGUGGGGAGCAAACAGGG
rnacentral:rRNA from 1 species